rnacentral:rRNA from 1 species
CUCCUACGGGAGGCAGCAGUGGGGAAUUUUGGACAAUGGGGGCAACCCUGAUCCAGCCAUGCCGCGUGAGUGAAGAAGGCCUUCGGGUUGUAAAGCUCUUUCGGCCGGGAAGAAAUCGCAUCGGUUAAUACCCGGUGUGGAUGACGGUACCGGAAUAAGAAGCACCGGCUAACUACGUGCCAGCAGCCGCGGUAAUACGUAGGGUGCGAGCGUUAAUCGGAAUUACUGGGCGUAAAGCGUGCGCAGGCGGUUUGUUAAGAUAGGCGUGAAAUCCCCGGGCUCAACCUGGGAACUGCGCUUAUGACUGGCAGGCUAGAGUACGGCAGAGGGGGGUGGAAUUCCACGUGUAGCAGUGAAAUGCGUAGAGAUGUGGAGGAACACCAAUGGCGAAGGCAGCCCCCUGGGUCGAUACUGACGCUCAUGCACGAA